ensembl:lncRNA
CGCCACCUCUUCGCGCUCUACAUCGUCUCACGAUUCCUGCACCUGCAGUCUCCCUUCCUGGCCCAGGUUCACUCGGAGCAGUGGCACCUGUCCACCAGCCAGGUCCCUGUGCAGCAAAUGCACCUGUUUGACGUUCACAAUUACCCCGACUACGUUUCCUCCGGAGGUGGAUUCGGGCCUGCCGAUGACCACGGCUACGGGGUUUCCUACAUCUUCAUGGGGGACGACAGGAUCACCUUCCACAUCUCCAGCAGGAAAUCAAGCACAAAAACGGACUCCCACCGGCUGGGGCAGCACAUCGAGAAUGCCUUGUUGGACGUGGCCUCCCUGUUCCAGGCAGGGCGGAGUCCAAAGCGCCGGUUCCGAGGUUCGGGGGAGAUGGACUCAGGGCCCAGGUGUGGCAUCCUCUCCAGCCAGAUCGUGGACGACUCCAAGCUACCCACGGCACCCAGCAGCCUCUGAGCCCUGCUGGCAGGGAGCUGGUCUCCCUCAGGAACAAGGAUCCCGCGGCUGGGCUGGGGCCGGACGGGGCAGUCCGUCCCACGUCUGGGCCAAUAAAGCUGUGAGCGCUGUGUGUGUGGUGUCCACCAUGCUCUUGGGCAGGCCAGGGAUGGCGGGCGCAAGCAGGCCCAUCCGUGGGUUCCCAGGCACAGCCACAGCCCACAGCACCUGCUGAGCUCUGUCCGUUCCCAAGGCCAGCCCUAUGAAGCCCAACCCUCCAGGGCCAGCCCCGGGCAAGCGGCGCCUCUGGCUGUCCUGAGCUCCUGCCUGCACACAGCUGCCCGCCUCCAAGCCUAAGGACUGGACAGCAGCCCAGCCACCCCCAGAAUGACCCACCAAGAUUCUUUCCCCAAAAUGUAUGUAUGUGAAAGGCAGAGUGACAGAGAGGGGGAGACAGAGACCCCAUCCUCUGGUUCACUUCCCAAAUGUCUAUGAAGCCAGAGCUGGGAUAGGCCCAGCCAGGAGCUCCAUGCACGUCUUCCACAUGGGAGGCAGGAACCCUAGUCCUUAGGUGUUGAGGUGGAUUCGUUCUGAGAGGAGGAGCGUGGUGGGGGCAAGAGGUGCGGAGUCACCACACAGACCCCGGGAGUCGGGUGAAAGCAGGCCAGAGGCGAGCAGCUGGCAGACUCGUUUAUUUCAGUUGGUGCAGCAGCUUAUAUAGCCAAGACCAGCCAAUCCGGUCAAGGGGCGGUCUAUGCCCUAACCAAUCACAGCCUGUUGCCAGGCAGGCUCACUCCUUCCUUCUCCAUUUCUGAAUCACUUGCUCGGGGUAGGGGUGGGGAGCAGCGACUUUGUCACUGGGACCCUCGAGCCUGUGCUAGGAAGGCCCAGGGGGUCAAGAAUUGAGGUCUCCGUGCCAACAGCCAGGGAGAUGCAGGCGUGAGGCAUCUUGGGUGUGGACCCCAGCCCCUUGCUGAGCCGCACUGAGCCGGAACCACCCGGAUAAGCUACUCUCGGUGCCCGAUUCUCAAACUGAGAGACCAGAUGUUUGUUGUCAAGCUGCCGUGCGUGGGGGUGACGUGGUUCUCUAUGUAGAAUAACGCAAACCCACAUCCUUCACCUGUCCCAUUCCCAAAUGCCACUCUGAAUCCGGCCCCAUGGCAGGCAGACCCUGAGGUGGCCCCAGUGAUGUCCCGUUUCUUGGUGUCCACGCCUCCGUGUAACCAAGUCCUUGC